UACGGGGGGCAAGCGUUGUUCGGAAUUACUGGGCGUAAAGGGCUCGUAGGUGGCCAACUAAGUCAGACGUGAAAUCCCUCGGCUUAACCGGGGACUGCGUCUGAUACUGGAUGGCUUGAGUUCGGGAGAGGAUGCGGAAUUCCAGGUGUAGCGGUGAAAUGCGUAGAUAUCUGGAGGAACACCGGUGGCGAAGGCGGCAUCCUGGACCGAGACUGACACUGGAGGAGCGAAGCCAGGGAGCAAACGGGAUUAGAACCCGGGAG
rnacentral:rRNA from 1 species